AUCAUAGUGAAAGGUCAGUAGAGACUGUGAUUGACAGGCUGUGAGUGGUCUUCCUGUCCAGCGAUGACGGUGACAUACUCACGGCGGGUGGCAGAUGCGCGCCUGGGCACCUUUUAUCGCCUGCUUCUGCGAUGGAAAGGAAGCAUCUACAAAUUGUUAUAUCGAGAUCUGCUGAUCUUCACUGUGAUGUAUGGCACCAUCAGCAUCACAUACAGGUGUAUACUGACUGAAGAGCAGCGCAGGAUGUUCGAGAAGCUCUCCGUGUACUGCGAUCGUACGUGCAACUGAUUCCCGUGUCAUUCAUACUGGGUUUCUACGUGACUCUUGUGGUGACUCGUUGGUGGGGUCAGUUCGAGAGCAUCCCGUGGCCGGAUCGCCUGUCAGCGCUGGUUAGCGGACACGUCCGGGGCGCAGAUGAAGGGGCCAGACUCGUCCGCAGGAGUCUAAUGUGUUACGCCAACCUGUCAGGCAUCCUGAUCUACCGCUUGGUCAGCACCGCCGUCUACAAGAGGUUCCCGACCAUGAGCCACCUGGUUCAAGCAGGUAAACUGGGAUUCAGGCCAAGAAAUGUGGCCUAGAACAGCGAUUAAAGCCAUGUUUUGUGCCGGUACCCUUCAGUAUCUGGGAUUUAACCUCAAAGGGGAAACAGGAAGGAAUUACGGCCAGAUCCCUAAGAGCUUUGGCUGUAUAUAGCU